rnacentral:rRNA from 1 species
AUCGAUGGCUCAGGACGAACGCUGGCGGCGUGCUUAACACAUGCAAGUCGAGCGAUGAAGCUCUUCGGAAGUGGAUUAGCGGCGGACGGGUGAGUAACACGUGGGUAACCUGCCUCAUAGAGGGGAAUAGCCUUCCGAAAGGAAGAUUAAUACCGCAUAAGAUUGUAAUAUCGCAUGAUAUAGCAAUUAAAGGAGUAAUCCGCUAUGAGAUGGACCCGCGUCGCAUUAGCUAGUUGGUGAGGUAACGGCUCACCAAGGCGACGAUGCGUAGCCGACCUGAGAGGGUGAUCGGCCACAUUGGGACUGAGACACGGCCCAGACUCCUACGGGAGGCAGCAGUGGGGAAUAUUGCACAAUGGGGGAAACCCUGAUGCCAGCAACGCCGCGUGAGUGAUGACGGCCUUCGGGUUGUAAAGCUCUGUCUUCAGGGACGAUAAUGACGGUACCUGAGGAGGAAGCCACGGCUAACUACGUGCCAGCCGCGGC